GAGGGCAGGAGCCCCAUGCUCUGCUCGUGCUAAUCUUUUUCCUUCCUUUUCUCCCUCAGGAAGGAAGCCAUCCAGGCAGCCAGGAGGCUCCUACCCCGCUUCUUAUCUCCCAGCAGAGCCUGCACUGGAAAUGAGAUUCAGAGGCUGGACCAGGAAAGGCUGUUGUUCCCUUAAUGGAGCAGCUCCCCUUUGAAGUCCUGUCUCCCCGUGGAGCCCGGAGCUGGCGGGGUCCCCCAGCCCACGUCACCCGUAUGUAAUCUCUUGCACACCAGAAGCAGAUGUUCCCUGGCAUGGAGCUCUUUUGAAAGGUCUUUAAUAGGAUUUCUCAGCCUUCCACAUGCCAGGCAGACAGGGGAGGGACGGCGUUCAGAGAAAUCACUGAUCAAAGAUUUCAAGAGGGUAGUACUCUGCUCCUUUUCUGCUGGAUACUCCUCUGUCAGGAUUCUGCAGGGUUUUUUUUGGGGGGGGGGGCUGUUCUCAGCACCCCCAAAGGGGACUCCCUGAGGCUUUGCAACUCUGUUCCAUUUCCUCAAUCCAUGGCCAUGGGCAUUUUUUGUUUUCCUGGAUCCACUUGGUGUCGUUGGAGACACAGGAGUUGCUCGGGGCUCUGGUGGGAUGCCCAGUCCAUGCAGCGAACACCUCACUGGCAGCUGACUGUGGGGAAAGGGGGCUGGGAUAUAGCUCAGUGGCACAGUGCCUGCCUGACAAGCGUGAGGUCCUGACUUCGAUUUCUGGUGCCCACUUAAAAAUAAAAAUAAAUAAAAACCAACUGAGCUCAUUCAGCAAUGGAGUGGAGCUCUAAGCUAAGGGUGGCAUCAAAUAUAAAAUACGAUUGUCAUGGGACUCAAAUGAUAUAAACAUGAAGAUCCCCAGGAACAAAUAUUCUGAAGGGCUCAGAAAUGCUUAUGAUUUGUUUGUUAAAGGCAAAAUAAAACUUAAGGAUGUUUGUGUACCAGAGUCCUUUUGGGUCAGAUGUACCCUGGCUGGGACAGAGACAUGAAACUGAGAGCUUCAUGUAGGAGUGCGCACCCGACACAGUAACUGACGUCUGCUGCGAAUGGCAAAACGCUGAGCUGUCCACAGUGUCCUGUUUUUGGCUGUCCCUGCCCUGUCCUCUCCCCUCGCAGGGGCUGAUUGCUGUGCAGCCUUGAAGCCCUUUGAAACGUUCUGGUUCUGACGAUCAUGAGGAAAGGCCAGCCUAGAUCUUUAACCCAGUGUGUCCUAAGAAGAUGUCCUUAAUGUUCUGUCUCCAAGGGCUUCCUUGUUCCUUGCUUCCAGCUGGAUUCAGAGAGCAGAGGGCACCAGGAAUGUGAAGAAGGAAUCUUUCUUACCCUAGCUGGACUGCCGUGGGUCAGCCACAUCCCUCUCCUGGAAGUCACGGUUCUCAUUAAGCAGCCUUUUCCAUGUAAAUACUGUUUUCUAGGUCGUGACAACUACACCCUGCCCUUGAACCCUCAUGCCCAGUGGGUAGUAAAGGCUUCCAACUGUUACACAUCCUGAGGUAUUAUGCUCUCCAUUAUUUGUUUCCCUAAAUCUACCCAUAACUCUGUAUAUAGUCCUUCCAUUAAACUGUCCUUAAAUUGCCCAA